rnacentral:rRNA from 1 species
AUUCGGUGUGGAUUAGUGGCUAUCUGGUGAGUAACACGCGGGCAAUCUCCACAGCAGUAUGUGACAACUCCUGUAAACAGCGUCUAAUUCCGCAUACUGACCGCCUUGCGCAUGCAAGGUGUUCGAAUGCUACGGCGGUGCAGGAUGAGCCCGCGCCCUAUCUGCUCGUCUCGUGAGGUACUGGCUCAGCACGGCGACUACGGGUAGCCGGCGUGAGAGGGCGACAGGCCACAGUGGUACUGAGACACGGCCCAGACUCCUACGGGAGUCAGCAGUGGGGAAUAUUGCCCAAUGGGCGAAAGCCAUAUGCAGCGCCGCGUCGUGAGGGAUGACGUCCUUCGGGUUGUAAAUCUCUUUCAGCAGUGAAGAAGCGAAAAUGACGGUACCUGCAGAAGAAGCGCUGUCUAACGUCGUCCCAGCAGCCGCGGUAAUAGGUAGCGCGCGAGCGUUGUCCGGAAUCAUCGGGCAUAAAGAGGUCGUAGGCGUCAUGUCACGUCGCUUGUGAAAUCCCGGGGCUUAACCCCGCGUCUGCAGUCGAUACGGGCAGGCUAGAGUUCGGUAGGGGAGAUCGGAAUUCCUGGUGUCGCGGUGAAAUGCGCAGAUAUCAGCAG